rnacentral:rRNA from 1 species
CCUACGGGAGGCAGCAGUGGGGAAUAUUGGACAAUGGGCGAAAGCCUGAUCCAGCAAUGCCGCGUGUGUGAAGAAGGCCUUCGGGUUGUAAAGCACUUUCAAUAGGGAGGAAAAGCUAAUAGUUAAUACCUGUUAGCCGUGACGUUACCUAUAGAAGAAGCACCGGCUAACUCCGUGCCAGCAGCCGCGGUAAU